AUAUUUAGGAUGUGAUUUUAAGCUUUUCAAGACUAAGUAAGUGUUCUAAAAUUUUUCUUAGUCAUCCUUCUUAUUUAGUUUUUGAGUUUGUAGUGGUAGAAAAUUUAAGAUCUGGAAGAGGGAUGAAUUUAUGUUGAAUAAAUAUGAUUUUUGAGGUUGUCAGUAGUAUAAUAAAUGUUCUAGAGUAUAAAUUUAUUGAUGAUCUUUGAAUCUGUGGCUUAUGGAUCAAAUUUUAAACUAGAUCUGAAAAUAUAUGUUGAUUUAUUGAGGUUUAGAUGAUUAUUUGGGAUGAGAAAUGAAUUAUUAUGGUUAUAGGAUUAUGAUUCUAAACUAGAGACUUAAUUUUUAAUUUUUGGGUAUUUUAGGUACGAAUUUAUGAAAUAAAAAGAAAAUUUUGAUAAUAAAAAUUAGUUUAGAAGUUGAUUUUUAGAUUAUUAAUGUUUAUUGAUAAUUAAAAGAGGAGUUAAAAAUUAUACUUAAUAGUAUUAACUAUAGAUUUGUAUUAAGAUUGAGAUUAGGAAUUAUGUUAUAUUUUUAAUUCUAUUAUUAGAAUUAUUUUAUUAGUUUCAAAAAUUGAAACUAAUAUUUAUAAAUAAUAUGUUAUUUGUAGAUUGUAUUACUGGUGAAGAUUGUGGUGAGAGAGAAAUUUUAAGGAAUAAUUUAUUGAAAAAGCCACAAGGAGAAGAGCCAAGAGUGACACGUGGAGGAGUCUCAGAGGCUUAGUGGUAUAGAUCCACUGUCUCUUUUGGGUAUUUAAUUUAUGAUUUAUAAUGUGUUAUAUUGCCAAUAUUAGGACUUUUUUAUGUUUAUUGUCAAUUAUAUGAAUAUAUAAAUGUAAUCAUGCCUUUCAAACUAUUUCUAUUUUUGGUACAAUUUGGAUGACUGUAAUUUUAAUAUUUGGUUUACUUUGGAUUGGUUAAAAUGGCAUGAUUAUAAGGCCAAAUAACUGGCUUGUGUUGAAAAUUGACUAAA